rnacentral:rRNA from 1 species
GAUGAACGCUGGCGGCGCGCCUAACACAUGCAAGUCGAACGGCACCCACCCUCGGGUGGAAGCGAGUGGCGAACGGCUGAGUAACACGUGGAGAACCCGCCCCCUCCUCCGGGAUAGCCUCGGGAAACCGUGGGUAAUACCGGAUGACCCCGCAGGGCCGCAUGGCCCCGCGGGCAAAGCCCAGACGGGAGGGGAUGGCUCCGCGGCCCAUCAGGUAGACGGCGGGGUGACGGCCCACCGUGCCGACGACGGGUAGCCGGGUUGAGAGACCGACCGGCCAGAUUGGGACUGAGACACGGCCCAGACUCCUACGGGAGGCAGCAGUGGGGAAUCUUGCGCAAUGGGGGGAACCCUGACGCAGCGACGCCGCGUGCGGGACGAAGGCCCUCGGGUCGUAAACCGCUUUCAGCAGGGAUG